rnacentral:rRNA from 1 species
UACGGAGGGGGCGAGCGUUAUUCGGAAUUAUUGGGCGUAAAGGGCGCGUAGGCGGCGCGAUAAGUCAAAGGUGAAAUCCCUCGGCUCAACUGAGGAACUGCCUUUGAAACUGUCGUGCUUGAGUCCGGGAGGGGGUAGCGGAAUUCCCAGUGUAGCGGUGAAAUGCGUAGAUAUUGGGAGGAACACCAGUGGCGAAGGCGGCUACCUGGACCGGUUCUGACGCUGAUGCGCGAAAGCGUGGGUAGCAAACAGG